GACGAACGCUGGCGGCGUGCUUAACACAUGCAAGUCGAACGGAAAGGCCCUGCUUUUGUGGGGUGCUCGAGUGGCGAACGGGUGAGUAACACGUGAGUAACCUGCCCUUGACUUUGGGAUAACUUCAGGAAACUGGGGCUAAUACCGGAUAGGAGCUCCUGCUGCAUGGUGGGGGUUGGAAAGUUUCGGCGGUUGGGGAUGGACUCGCGGCUUAUCAGCUUGUUGGUGGGGUAGUGGCUUACCAAGGCUUUGACGGGUAGCCGGCCUGAGAGGGUGACCGGCCACAUUGGGACGGAGAUACGGCCCAGACUCCUACGGGAGGCAGCAGUGGGGAAUAUUGAACAAUGGGCGGAAGCCUGAUGCAGCAACGCCGCGUGCGGGAUGACGGCCUUCGGGUUGUAAACCGCUUUCGCUGUGACGAAGCGUGAGUGACGGUAAUGGGUAAAGAAGCACCGGCUAACUACGUG
rnacentral:rRNA from 1 species